CGGGCCUUCCUGCCAGAGGAGGAUGUAUAAUCAGGGAGGAUUUGGACAGGGAACAUGAGGAAGGAACGCAGAGGAGAGGAGCACCCAAGCAAAGGCUGGGAGGUAGGCCUGUACUUUUGUGCCAUGUUCCUCCCCCAAACCACUCUUCUGAUUCAGCCAAGUGCACCAGCAGAGCAGCUGACCUGGCCAGUCCAUAGGGUUCCCAUCGGGGGGCAGAUAAAUGGCCUCAAGCUCAGAGAGCAAAGACCACACAUCGAAUCAAUGUCAAGGCCUGGACUGAGUGUCAGAGUCACCUGACCCCAAGGUCUGGGCUGUGGCUAUAAUGAGAGCCAGCAUCAGCCUGGGGUAUUAGCAGCCUCUGUGUAUUUCACAGGGGUCACUCUUAAGGGAGAGUUCUCUUCCAGGAUACAAGGAGUUGGGGACAGUCUCGUCCUCUCCCCCUUCCCCUCUCUUUUCUCAAAUCCCUCUGCACAAGGUCACAGGCAACUGAAGGCUCCCUCUGGCCACCCUCAGCACCCCCGUGGGUCUGUCAUCCAUGGAGUCGGGUUUAAUAACCAAGGGGUCCAAGUGUCACAGGGCCCUUACUUUCAGCUUUCCUCAUCUGAAUGGGACCUAGCAAGGUGGAGAUGGCGAGGGCAGGAGAGGGAGAGGAGACUCCUCUCUCUGCACCUCCCCAACCCUGCUUUGGCAUUUUGUGUGCUGGGAAUGAGAAACCUAGCGUUGCUAUGGAAACUGCCAUCCCCUGCUCCCUCUCUCAUUCUCUGUGGGCAGUUCUUGUAUGUAACAUGGAAGUGCAGGGCUCCCUGCUAUCCAGGGGGCUGGAAUUCAGGAGGACCAUCUCUGGGGGUGGGGAUGCAGGAAUGGAUGGGAGCUGACAGAGGGGCCUCCCGCGGUUCUGCUCCCAGGAGGGGUUUCAGGGCCUCCGACCUGAGGGCAGCGUGAGGGGCAGCCAUGGAGCUCAGGCUGCGUCUCUGGAGUGAGCCUGGUAACAAUGCUCAUUCACACUCAUUGCAAAGAAGAGUUCACAAAGUGCAGUCAGCUGGGCUGUUUAGAAAGAGCUUGGGCCCUGCAGUUCCUAAGACUCAGGCUUGAAUACCAGCAUGGGUAACUUCUCCAAGCUUCCAUUCCCCACAUCUGGAAGCUGAGCAACCUCAGAAGUGGUCACAUGGGACCAAGACUGUGCCCCUGUCCCCUGCCU
ensembl:lncRNA